GGAGCGCUGAGCUUCCACACACCAGUCGCCUCACAACCUCGUUGGUUUCAGAUCUUGUUUGCUUCAAUGAUGGGCAUCUUGGUUCCUGCCCACUUGAUGGCCGGCUCUGCCCUCCCAACCCUCCAGCACCCCAGGGUCGCGGAUGUCAACGUGACAGAGACUGUGGCAGGAACGAGCGUUGUUGCAAGGAUUUCUGUCACCAUCUCAGUACUUGCAAGCGGACAUUGACAAGGCCUGGUCGCGGCUAAACAUGCCUUCAACAAGUCUUAGGGGGGUAGAAAUAGGCUAAGCUACUCUAUCCCUUUGAGAUGUAUUUCUUUCUUGUCUCAAUAAACAUAUUUGAACUUCAACAAGUGUAUAGCAUGUAUUAUUAAAGAAAGUCAUCAAA
rnacentral:misc_RNA from 1 species